rnacentral:rRNA from 1 species
GUGCCAGCAGCCGCGGUAAGACGAACCGUCCGAACGUUAUUCGGAAUUACUGGGCUUAAAGGGUGCGUAGGCGGCGGAGUAAGUAGGGUGUGAAAUCCCUCGGCUUAACCGAGGAACUGCGCUCUAAACUACUUUGCUCGAGGGAGAUAGAGGUAAGCGGAACUUAGGGUGGAGCGGUGAAAUGCGUUGAUAUCCUAAGGAACACCGGUGGCGAAAGCGGCUUACUGGAUCUCUUCUGACGCUGAGGCACGAAAGCUAGGGUAGCGAACGGGAUUAGAUACCCCAGUAGUCC